GAUGAACGCUAGCUACAGGCUUAACACAUGCAAGUCGAGGGGAAACGACAUUGAAGCUUGCUUCGAUGGUCGUCGACCGGCGCACGGGUGAGUAACGCGUAUCCAACCUGCCUCUGACCAAGGGAUAACCCGUCGAAAGUCGGCCUAAUACCUUAUGCAGUCGUCGGAAGUCAUCUGAUGACGACGAAAGAUUUCAUCGGUGAGAGAUGGGGAUGCGUCUGAUUAGCUUGUUGGCGGGGUAACGGCCCACCAAGGCAACGAUCAGUAGGGGUUCUGAGAGGAAGGUCCCCCACAUUGGAACUGAGACACGGUCCAAACUCCUACGGGAGGCAGCAGUGAGGAAUAUUGGUCAAUGGGCGAGAGCCUGAACCAGCCAAGUAGCGUGCAGGAUGACGGCCGUAUGGGUUGUAAACUGCUUUUAUGCGGGGAUAAAGUGAGGGACGUGUCCUUCAUUGCAGGUACCGGAUGAAUAAGGACCGGCUAAUUCCGUG
rnacentral:rRNA from 1 species